AUGCAAGGCGAGGCGCGGCUGCCACCGGCGUGUGUAUCCAAGGUGCUCGACGACGACGACCUCCUGGCGGAGAUCAUCGUCCGCGUCGGCUUCCCCACCAGCCUCGUCCGUGCCGCCGCCGUAUGCAGGCGCUGGCUCAGCCACGCCUCCGACGGCGCCUUCCUCCGCCGUUUCCGCGAGCUCCAUCCGCCCAGGCUCCUCGGCUUCUACAUCGCAGAAAGGGAGUAUCCGGCCUCCACACGCUUCUUCCCGAUGCUGCAUCUGCCCCCGGAGCUCGCCGCCGUCGUCCACCGCGCAAGCUUCAGGCCGGACGCCUACGAGGGCGCGCAUGCCCAUGUGGUGGGCUGCUCGAACGGCAGCGUCUUCACCCACCGCGCAAGCUUCUACGUGGACACCUUCAAGCUUGUAUUUGCAAGGCACAGGCCGCUGUGCUAUGAGAGAGGUAUGCGUAUGACCAUCCUCCCAGGAUUAAAACUCAGAACCUCACCAGGCAGUAUGUACAGUUGGGCGCAACUCUUCUCCAAACAAGAAGAGGAUGGGUGGUCCUACUUUUAUCUCGCCGUGAAGGAUAUCAUGGGCGCACCUGGGGUGCUUCUGUAUGUGUAUAUGUUGCAAAAUGGUGAUGAUGUCUGGUGCCUGCAUCUCACCUUGGCCUCAGACCUGUAUCCAUACCAAAGUCCCAAAGGCGUGCUCCUUGACAACAAAAUCUAUCUGGCGACCGACGAUGCGAUUAUUGUCCUGGAUUUGACGUCUUCAAUCUUAUCGACAAUUCAGCCCCCACACGGGGUGAGUUUUGACGUAAGUGGAACCACCAUAUUGUCGCGGGCUGAUGAUGGUUCUGUUUUAUAUCUCAUCCAUAUCAAGGAGCUUCAACUUCAAAUCUGGCUCCAUAAUGGGGAUAACUGGUUGCUGGUGGACACCAUUUGCUUGAGUGAAAUGUGUGCUAAUUUUCUCGAGGAUGAACCUACUGCUGAUAUCCAGAUAAACCAUGUGGGGGACUAUAAUGAGUUUGUAUUCUUGGAGAUGGGUCGAUGUGUGCUCUACUUGGAUGUCAAGCACAGGACGCUGCGUAAAGUAUACAAGAUGACAGCAGAUGAGUAUUAUUUGGGUGAUAUCUAUCCUUUUAUGAUGAGCUGGCCUCCCAUUUUCCCUACUCUCAGUCCUGCAAGGUUUGCCUUUUGCCCUUUUGGUGAUCUGUAUAGUGUACUUGUAGAAUUUACAUAG
rnacentral:rRNA from 1 species